rnacentral:rRNA from 1 species
UGAAUACGAGACGCUAAGGCGUCGAAGUUGUGUAUGUCAUACUUCCAAGAAAAGCUUGCACUGUCAUAAGUAAAAAAUGCCUGUACCAUAACCGACACAGGUGGGUAGGUAGAGUAUACUAAGGGGCGCGAGAUAACUCUCUCUAAAGAACUCGGCAAAAUAACUCCGUAACUUCGGGAGAAGGAGUGCCUUAUUCUUAAGGUUGCAAUAACAAGAUCCAAGCAACUGUUUAUCAAAAACACAGGUCUCCGCUAAGUCGCAAGACGAUGUAUGGGGGCUGACGCCUGCCCAGUGCCAGAAGGUUAAAGAAGUUGGUUAGCUUUUGCGAAGCUGAUAACUGAAGCCCUGGUGAACGGCGGCCGUAACAAUAACGGUCCUAAGGUAGCGAAAUUCCUUGUCGGGUAAGUUCCGACCCGCACGAAAGGCGUAAUGAUUUGGAUACUGUCUCGGAGAGGGGCUCGGUGAAAUAGACUUGUCUGUGAAGAUGCGGACUACCUGCACCAGGACAGAAAGACCCUAUGAAGCUUUACUGUAACUUGAAAUUGAAAUUGGACUUUAUUCGCGCAGUAUAGGUGGGAGGCGUUGAUUGUAAUCUUGCGGGAUUAUUGGAGCCAUCAGUGAGAUACCACUCUUGUAAUGUUAGAUUUCUAACUUUGUAUCAUUAUCUGGUCAAAGAACAGUUUCAGGCGGGCAGUUUGACUGGGGUGUCGCCUCCUAAACGGUAACGGAGGCGUACAAAGGUUUCCUCUGAACGGUUAGAAAUCGUAUCUAGAGUGUAAAGGCAUAAGGAAGCUUGACUGUGAGACCUACAAGUCGAGCAGGGACGAAAGUCGGUCUUAGUGAUCUGACGGUACUGAGUGGAAAGGCCGUCACUCAACGGAUAAAAGUUACUCUAGGAUAACAGGCUGAUCUCCCCCAAGAGUUCACAUCGACGGGGAGGUUUGGCACCUCGAUGUCGGCUCAUCGCAUCCUGGGGCGGUAGUACGUCCCAAGGGUUGGGCUGUUCGCCCAUGAAAGCGGUACGCGAGCUGGGUUCAGAACGUCGUGAGACGGUUCGGUCCAUAUCCGGUGUAGGCGUUAGAAUAUUGAGAGGAGCCUUCUUUAGUACGAGAGGACCGAGAAGGACAUACCUCUGGUGUACCAGUUAUCGUGCCAACGGUAAACGCUGGGUAGCUAUGUAUGGAGUGGAUAACCGCUGAAAGCAUCUAAGUGGGAAGCCCACCUCAAGAUAAGUAUUCUCAUU